rnacentral:rRNA from 1 species
GCCUGGCUCUAUGCCAGCUGGUGGAUGGCUCGGCUCAAGCGCUGAUGAAGGACGUGCCAAGCUGCGAUAAGCCCCGGGGAGGUGCAGGGAGCCUUAGAUCCGGGGAUCUCCGAAUGGGACUUCCUGACGCUUCGCGCGUCACUCCCGUUAGGGAGGGGGAACGCCCCGAAUUGAAACAUCUUAGUAGGGGCAGGAGAAGAAACCAAUUGGGAUGCCGUGAGUAACGGCGAGUGAAAGCGGCACAGUUCAAACCGAAUCCGUGCUCGAUGAGGGCAUGGAAAUGUGGUGUUGUAGGCACAGGACAAUAAAACCCGACCUGGAGAAACCGAAGUCUCCUGGAACGGAGCGCCAUAGAGUGUGAAAGCCACGUAGGUGUAAUCCAGGGGGUUUGUCCUGUGUCCUGAGUACCGUGGGUUGGAAAUCUCACGGGAAGCUGGGAGGCAUCAACUUCCAAAACUAAAUACGUCUUGAGACCGAUAGCGCAGUAGUAGGGUGACUGAAAGCUGAAAAGUACCCCGAGGAGGGAGGUGAAAAGCGCCUGAAACCAGCUGGUGAUAGUGGGGUACGGCGUGAAAGGAUCGGCGAUGCGAAGGAACCCGUCGCGAGGCGGUAGUACGGGCAUCGCUGUGCAACGUCGUACCGUACGUUUUGAAGAACGGGCCAGGGAGUUUGUCUGGGUGGCGAGGUUAACCACUUCACGUGGGGAGCCGAAGCGAAAGCGACAUGCACGUAGCCCGAAAGGGUGUGGUGCGGGGUACUAAAAGUGCCCGGAGUCACCUGGACAAGACCCGAAGCCGGGCGAUCUAGGCGUGGGCAGGCUGAAGCGCGAGGAAACUCGCGUGGAGGGCCGAAGGGGUGCUGAUAUGCAAAUCGCUCCUCUGACCCGCGUCUAGGAGUGAAAGAUUAAUCGAGCCCGGGAAUAGCUGGUUCCCCCCGAAACAUGCCACAGCAUGACCUGGACUGAGGUAGUCGGCGGGGUAGAGCACUGAUUGGGAAGAUAGGGGAGGAAACUCCUCGCUUCCCUGUCAAACUCCGAAUCCGCCGUCGCCUGAGAAGUCCGGAGUCCGGGCUGGGGGGUAAGCUUCCAGUCCGCAAGGGGAUAAACCCAGCCCAUGGUUAAGGUCCCUAAGUGUCGGCUAAGUGUUACCAAUAAAAGGCGUCCCAAGCCUAAGACAACUGGGAGGUGAGCUUAGAAGCAGCUAUCCUUUAAAGAGUGCGUAACAGCUCACCAGUCGAGGUUUGGGGCCCUGAAAAUGGACGGGGCUUAAGCCGACCACCGAUACCAUGGGGCACCGUAAGGUGAUCCGGUAGGGGGGCGUCCUGCGUGGGUAGAAGCAGGGCUGUGAGGUCCUGUGGACCGCGUAGGAACGAGAAUCCUGGCGUUAGUAGCAGCAUAGUUGGGUGAGAAUCCCAACCGCCGAAAGGGCCAGGUUUCCUCGGCAAUGUUCGUCAGCCGAGGGUUAGUCGGUCCUAAGGUGCACCGUAAUUCGAGUGCACCGAAGAGGGAAGCAGGUUAAUAUUCCUGCACCACCUGGCAAUCCAAUCCCGACGCUUCCGGGUAGGCCGAGCAGGGGCGCCAACCUGUUCAAGCGUUGAAGCCCACGGAGAGCCGUAAUGGCGAGAAGUGGGUGAAGACGUGAUGACGUAAGUCGGCUGACCCCGGGAGCCCGUGAAAAGGGUGCCAGGUGACCGUACCGAGAACUGACACAGGUGUCUCAGGCUGAGAAGGCCCAGGCGUGUCGGGGUAUUCUGGCUAAGGGAAUUCGGCAAAUUAGCCCCGUAACUUCGGGAGAAGGGGUGCCUGCUCCGAGAUGGAGCAGGUCGCAGUGACAGGGGGACUCCGACUGUCUAAUAACAACAUAGCAGGCUGCAACUCCGUAAGGACUAGUACAGCCUGUGAAUCCUGCCCAGUGCAGGUACCUGAAACCCAGGUUCAACUGGGCGAAGGGCCUGUCAACGGCGGGGGUAACUCUGACCCUCUUAAGGUAGCGUAAUACCUUGCCGCUUAAUUGGCGGCUUGCAUGAAUGGACCAACGAGAGUCCCACUGUCCCUAGCCAGAGCCCGGUGAACCCCACAUUCCAGUGAAGAGUCUGGAGACCUCCGAUGGGAAGUGAAGACCCCGUGGAGCUUUACUGCAGCCUGUCGCUGGGUCGUGGUUCUGGAUGUAGAGGAUAGGUGGGAGGCGUCGAAGCNCCCUCGCCAGGGGGUGUGGAGCCGCCAGUGGAAUACCACCCUUCUGGAACUACGGCUCUAACUCCGAAAGGAGGACAACGAUAGGUGGGCAGUUUGCCUGGGGCGGGACGCCCUUGAAAAGGUAUCAAGGGCGCCCUAAGGUCGGCUCAUCAGGGACGGAAACCCUGAGAAGAGUGUAAGGGCAAAAGCCGGCUUGACGCGAUCUUCCAUACCGAGAGAUCGCGAGACGAAAGUCGGGCCUAACGAACCAAUGAGCCCUCUUGAUGAGGGCCAUUGAUGUCAGAAAAGCUACCCCGGGGAUAACAGAGUCGUCACCGGCAAGAGCACAUAUCGACCCGGUGGCUUGCUACCUCGAUGUCGGUUCUCUCCAUCCUGGCCGUGCAGCAGCGGCCAAGGGUGAGGUUGUUCGCCUAUUAAAGGGGAUCGUGAGCUGGGUUUAGACCGUCGUGAGACAGGUCGGUUACUAUCUAUCGGAGGUGUUUGAGGUCUGAGGGGAAGUUGCUCAUAGUACGAGAGGAACUGGGCAACGGCGCCUCUAGUCGAUCGGUUGUCCGGCAGGGCACUGCCGAGAAGCCACGCGCUAUGUGGAUAAGGGCUGAAAGCAUCUAAGCCCGAAGCCACCCCCAAAAAGAGACCUCAUUAAGGACGCCCGUAAAAGACGGGUUUGAUAGGGCCGGGAUGUAAGCACCAAGGUAACGAGGUGCUCAGUCCACGGCUACUAAAGUCCGUGCCAGCCUA